CUCCCAGGGACGGAUAUUCAAUAUGGUUCCUAUGAGGGUGUUACUGUUGUUCGCAAUACCACUGAUUGGUAUUUUUCUGCAAAAAUCAUCCAGCAGGAGCAUUGACGAAAGUAAUCAUGUCGAAAGUUCCUCAGACCUCGGUGUUGAUAUUCGUGAGGAGCAAAGAUAAAUUCGUGAUGGGAAGGAUAUGCUGAUUCGAACCAGGCGAGAUAUAGAUAGUGCAAUUGCAGAUAUGAUAGAAUAUAAACGUGCAGUGGGCGAUUCAGCGCUAUCAAAUGAGGAUGAAACGCAUGACAUACAAAAACGUUGGGGCCGACGUAGGAGAAAAGGGGGCCGCAGGAGGUCACGUCGUAGAAGGAGACUCGGCCGUGUUAUGGAGGGAGUAGGACAAGGUUUAGGUAUCGCACAGUCUGCCAAGGAUCUUUUUUGGGGAUGAGACACUGGUGGGAGCGAUGACGACAAUGCAUAAGGAUGAAUAUUAGAAUGAAGAUGCCUAAAAUGCAUGCACAACAAAUCAUACCAAAUUUAAAAAAAUAUUUAGUAAUGGCAUUUUUUUCUUUCUACACAAUGAAAAAAAACUUUCAAUACAGACAAUUGUUUUCCUAGUUUUCA